CUACGGGAGGCACCAGGUAGGAAUCUUUUGCAAUGCGCGCAAGCGUGACAAAGCGAGCCAGAGUGUUUUUCAAUGAAAGACUUUUGCCAAAUCUAAAAAUUUUGGCGAAUAAGGACUGGGUAAGACGAGUGCCAGCCGCCGCGGUAAUCCUCGCGGUCCAAGUCGCAGCCAUCAUUAUUGGGUCUAAAACAUCCGUAGCUUGCUUAAUAAGUUCCUUGUGAAAUCCGGCAUCUUAAGUGUCGGGCGUGCAAGGAGUACUGUUGAGCUAGAGACUGGAAGACGUAAAAAGUAUGUUCAAAGUAGUGGUAAAAUAUGUUAAUCUUGGACAGACUCACAACAGCGAAGGCAUUUUACGAGGACAGUUCUGACAGUAAAGGAUGAGGGCUAGGGGCGCAAAGUGGAUUAGAUACCCUUGUAGUC
rnacentral:rRNA from 1 species